rnacentral:rRNA from 1 species
GACGAACGCAGGCGGCGUGCAUAAUACAUGCAAGUAGAACGCUGAAGGAAGGAGCUUGCUCUUUCCGGAUGAGUUGCGAACGGGUGAGUAACGCGUAGGUAACCUGCCUGGUAGCGGGGGAUAACUAUUGGAAACGAUAGCUAAUACCGCAUAACAGUAGAUAUCGCAUGAUAUGUGCUUGAAAGGUGCAAAUGCAUCACUACCAGAUGGACCUGCGUUGUAUUAGCUAGUUGGUGAGGUAACGGCUCACCAAGGCAACGAUACAUAGCCGACCUGAGAGGGUGAUCGGCCACACUGGGACUGAGACACGGCCCAGACUCCUACGGGAGGCAGCAGUAGGGAAUCUUCGGCAAUGGACGGAAGUCUGACCGAGCAACGCCGCGUGAGUGAAGAAGGUUUUCGGAUCGUAAAGCUCUGUUGUAAGAGAAGAACGAGUGUGAGAGUGGAAAGUUCACACUGUGACGGUAUCUUACCAGAAAGGGACGGCUAACUACGUGCCAGCAGCCGCGGUAAUACGUAGGUCCCGAGCGUUGUCCGGAUUUAUUGGGCGUAAAGCGAGCGCAGGCGGUUAGAUAAGUCUGAAGUUAAAGGCUGUGGCUUAACCAUAGUACGCUUUGGAAACUGUUUAACUUGAGUGCAAGAGGGGAGAGUGGAAUUCCAUGUGUAGCGGUGAAAUGCGUAGAUAUAUGGAGGAACACCGGUGGCGAAAGCGGCUCUCUGGCUUGUAACUGACGCUGAGGCUCGAAAGCGUGGGGAGCAAACAGG